UAAUACGUAGGUGGCGAGCGUUGUCCGGAAUUACUGGGUGUAAAGGGCGUGUAGGCGGGAAUACAAGUCAGAUGUGAAAUACCGUGGCUUAACCACGGGGCUGCAUCUGAAACUGUGUUUCUUGAGUGUCGGAGAGGAAAGUGGAAUUCCCAGUGUAGCGGUGAAAUGCGUAGAUAUUGGGAGGAACACCAGUGGCGAAGGCGACUUUCUGGACGAUAACUGACGCUGAGGCGCGAAAGCGUGGGGAGCAAACAGGAUUAGAUACCCUGGUAGUCCACGCUGUAAACGAUGGAUACUAGGUGUGGGAGGUAUCGACCCCUUCCGUGCCGCAGUUAACACAAUAAGUAUCCCACCUGGGGAGUACGGCCGCAAGGUUG
rnacentral:rRNA from 1 species